ACUGCUAUGUUUUAAUGUCCCUGUUAUUUGGUUCUGAUUCUCGCUAUUUACUCAAUUGCUAUCUUAACAAGCACCUUUUCAUUGUUACGGUUCUUUUAGUUCUGAACUUUUCUGUUUGGGAUUCUUACAAUGGAGAAAUCUACUUCCAUGUUGAAUAAAUUUGCUGGAAUUGCAGAUUAAUUGCUGAAAUUUCACCAUUACUUCUUACAUUUGACAGGUCCACGUAUUUUGCCCCAAAUCAUGAAUAUUAGAUGUUUUUACAAUUCUGGAAAACUAUUUUCUUGCAGAGGUAUUUAUAUUGGAAAUAGGCUAAGCCUCCUAACAAAUUAAAUAUAAUAGCAAAAAUAGUAAUUGAAGUAAAGUAAGAAAUGGUUCUAGUAGUUCAAUGUAAUAAGAUAUGCACAAAUUCAUUGGUGCAAAUUUGGGUUUGGUUUUAUGCCUUGAAACUUGAUUCUUGUAAAUGAAUCUUGAUAUGUUGGGAUGUGCUUGGCUGCUAUGUUUUUGGACAUUUGGCAAGCCAUCAGCUUGGCUAAUAUGCUUAAAGAUUAACUGCAAGUAAACUAACAUCUUAUGUAUAUGUUUUGAUGCAGGACAAUUUUUACAAAGUUGGGCCAAGAAUUCCAACUUAAACCUGACCUACAACCCAUUAAUGAUAGUGUUUGCCUAGCUCCAUAUUUCAAGUUGAAUAACAUAAAUUUCUUGCUAAAUAUUUUCUAUUUGCUCUGUUUUGUAGGGAUUUCCAGAAUAAUUUACUUUUAAAUAUUUCGGGCACUCUUGAUCCUCAUGCAAAUGUCACCAUCAUAAUUUAACUAUCCAUGAAUGGCCUGGCAUUGUCUUCAUCUGCCGCGGUCCUGCAGAACUUGUUCGGGAGAAAGGCCAUCAAGUACUCCUGCAGGAAGCUCUCUGAACCAGGCCUUAAUUAGACCUGCUAGGCAAGAACAUCAAUG